rnacentral:rRNA from 1 species
CCAGCAGCCGCGGUAAUUCCAGCUCCAAUAGCGUAUAUUAAAGUUGUUGCAGUUAAAAAGCUCGUAGUUGGAUUUCUGAGGGGAUGCCAAUGUCGGCUUGUUGCUUGUGCAGCGGCGUCCCCUCAUCCUGCAGUUAACGUUUCUGGUAUUCAUUUACUGGUCUCGGGCUCUGCUACUUUACCUUGAGAAAAUUAGAGUGUUCCAGGCAGGCUUGCGCCGGAAUACAUUAGCAUGGAAUAAUAGAAUAGGACUUUAGUCUCCCUUGUUGGUUUGAGGGACUGAAGUAAUGAUUAAUAGGGAUAGUUGGGGGCAUUAGUAUUUAAUUGUCAGAGGUGAAAUUCUCGGAUUUGUUAAAGACUAACUUAUGCGA